CGUAGGGUGCGAGCGUUGUCCGGAAUUAUUGGGCGUAAAAGAGCUUGUAGGCGGUUUUGUCGCGUCUGCCGUGAAAAUCCGGGGGCUCAACUCCGGACUUGCGGUGGGUACGGGCAGACUAGAGUGUGGUAGGGGAGACUGGAAUUCCUGGGUGUAGCGGUGAAAAUGCGCAGAUAUCAGGAGGAACACCGAUGGCGAAGGCAGGUCUCUGGGGCCACUACUGACGCUGAGAAGCGAAAGCGUGGGGAGCGAACAGGAUU
rnacentral:rRNA from 1 species